UACAGAGGUCCCGAGCGUUGUUCGGAUUCAUUGGGCGUAAAGGGUCCGUAGGCGGCGGGGCAAGUCUGAUGUGAAAUCCCGGGGCUCAACCCCGGAACUGCAUUGGAUACUGCCUUGCUCGAGUACUGGAGAGGGAACUGGAAUUUACGGUGUAGCAGUGAAAUGCGUAGAGAUCGUAAGGAAGGCCAGUGGCGAAGGCGAGUUCCUGGACAGUUACUGACGCUGAGGCACGAAGGCCAGGGGAGCAAACGGG
rnacentral:rRNA from 1 species